GACAGAGGGUGCAAACGUUGUUCGGAAUUACUGGGCGUAAAGCGCGUGUAGGCGGUUAGGCAAGUCGGAUGUGAAAUCCCGUGGCUCAACUACGGAGGUGCACCCGAAACUGCUUAACUUGAGUCCCGGAGAGGAAGGCGGAAUGCUUGGUGUAGAGGUGAAAUUCGUAGAUAUCAAGCGGAACACCGGUGGCGAAGGCGGCCUUCUGGACGAGGACUGACGCUGAGACGCGAAAGCGUGGGGAGCAAACAGG
rnacentral:rRNA from 1 species